rnacentral:rRNA from 1 species
UACGUAGGGGGCAAGCGUUGUCCGGAUUUAUUGGGCGUAAAGAGCGUGUAGGCGGCUUGGUAGGUCCGCUGUGAAAACUCGAGGCUCAACCUCGAGAUGUCGGCGGAAACCACUUGGCUAGAGUCCGGAAGAGGAGAGUGGAAUUCCCCGGUGUAGCGGUGAAAUGCGCAGAUAUCGGGAAGAACACCUAUGGCGAAGGCAGCUCUCUGGGACGGUACUGACGCUGAGACGCGAAAGCGUGGGGAGCGAACAGG